UAUAUCCGGCCCGGAUAGAUCGAUGUCUCCUCUAACCCUAGAACGUCUGAAGCUGAGUAAAUUAGUUUCAUCGCUCCCCUUCAUGCGGCGGCGAGACGGUGACCUUUGCGCUUCUUCCCACGGCCUGAAACGAAACAAUAAUGGCAUCGGUGAACAGAGUCCAUCAGUGAGGUGCAAAGUUUAGAUGAAGAUUUUUUUGUUGAUCAUAGAUGUUUUUGUUUUCUGUUUUGUAAUUAAAGAUCAUAGAUAUUUUUUUCCUAGAAGAUUAGAGAGAUUUUCGACUCAAUGAAAUCUUUAACCAAGUUUAUUUUUUUCCCUCUUUAAUUAUAUUAGUGAAUGAUUAUUGUUAUUUAAGCUUUUCAGAUUCAUUAAUU